UAAAGCGCCUUUAUGUUCCAUAGUGGCUGAUUCUGCUGGGGAAAGGGCUGCUUCUAUCUUUCUUUGUUUUUCCAGCUGACCUAGCGGGAAGCAGAGAUUAGAGAUUUGGCACCAGCUCUGUUAGAAGUGAAGGUGUGACUCACAGAAGCUUGGGGAUUCACACCAUCUUUGCAGAACUGCUGCGAGGGCUGGGCACUGAGGGCCUCUGCGCUGGCCACGUCUGGGACCAGUUUCCCUCUGAAGUGUAGAGCAACUUUGAUUCAAGUUACAGUCUCAGGCCUCAGGACAAAUGUGUGA
rnacentral:lncRNA from 1 species